CGACGGGUGAGUAACGCGUAUGCAACUUGCCUAUCAGAGGGGGAUAACCUGGCGAAAGUCGGACUAAUACCGCAUGAAGCAGGGGCCCCGCAUGGGGAUAUUUGCUAAAGAUUCAUCGCUGAUAGAUAGGCAUGCGUUCCAUUAGGCAGUUGGCGGGGUAACGGCCCACCAAACCGACGAUGGAUAGGGGUUCUGAGAGGAAGGUCCCCCACAUUGGUACUGAGACACGGACCAA
rnacentral:rRNA from 1 species